rnacentral:rRNA from 1 species
AGCAACGCCGCGUGAGUGAAGAAGGUUUUCGGAUCGUAAAACUCUGUUGUAAGGGAAGAACACGUACGAGAGUAACUGCUCGUACCUUGACGGUACCUUAUAGAAAGCCACGGCUAACUACGUGCCAGCAGCCGCGGUAAUACGUAGGUGGCAAGCGUUGUCCGGAAUUAUUGGGCGUAAAGCGCGCGCAGGCGGUCCUUUAAGUCUGAUGUGAAAGCCCACGGCUCAACCGUGGAGGGUCAUUGGAAACUGGGGGACUUGAGUACAGAAGAGGAAAGCGGAAUUCCACGUGUAGCGGUGAAAUGCGUAGAGAUGUGGAGGAACACCAGUGGCGAAGGCGGCUUUCUGGUCUGUAACUGACGCUGAGGCGCGAAAGCGUGGGGAGCAAACAGGAUUAGAUACCCUGGUAGUCCACGCCGUAAACGAUGAGUGCUAAGUGUUAGGGGGUUUCCGCCCCUUAGUGCUGCAGCUAACGCAUUAAGCACUCCGCCUGGGGAGUACGGCCGCAAGGCUG